AUUGAACGCUGGCGGCAGGCUUAACACAUGCAAGUCGAGCGGGGUGAUGGUGCUUGCACUAUCACUUAGCGGCGGACGGGGGAGUAAUGCUUAGGAAUCUGCCUAUUAGUGGGGGACAACAUCUCGAAAGGGAUGCUAAUACCGCAUACGUCCUACGGGAGAAAGCAGGGGAUCACUUGUGACCUUGCGCUAAUAGAUGAGCCUAAGGCGGAUUAGCUAGUUGGCGGGGUAAAGGCCUACCAAAGCGACGAUCUGUAGCGGGUCUUGAGAGGGGAUCCGCCAAACUGGGACUGGACCCCGGCCCCGACUCCUUCGGGGAGGAACAGUGGGGAAUAUUGGACAAUGGGGGGAACGCUGAUCCAGCCAAGCCGGGUGUGUGAAGAAGGCUUUAUGGUUGUAAAGCACUUUAAGCGAGGAGAAGGCUAUUUUGGUUAAUACCCAAGAUGAGUGGACGUUACUCGCAGAAUAAGCACCGGCUAACUCUGUGCCAGCCGCCGCCGUAA
rnacentral:rRNA from 1 species